rnacentral:rRNA from 1 species
UACGGGGGGGGCAAGCGUUGUUCGGAAUUACUGGGCGUAAAGGGCGCGUAGGCGGCCUGCUAAGUCGAACGUGAAAUCCCUGGGCUCAACCCAGGAACUGCGUCCGAUACUGGUUGGCUUGAAUCCGGGAGAGGGAUGUGGAAUUCCAGGUGUAGCGGUGAAAUGCGUAGAUAUCUGGAGGAACACCGGUGGCGAAGGCGGCAUCCUGGACCGGCAUUGACGCUGAGGCGCGAAAGCUAGGGGAGCAAACGGG